CACUCCUAAGACGGCUUGCGUAAUAGCUGGUUCCGUCCGGUGACAGCCACCUAGUCUGUCUGGCAGUGGAGGUUGGUUAGAUUUGUUUUAUUUUUUUGUCUCGAAAGUAAAAGUGUUCACGUUUUUAAGGUGUUUAAUAUGUAUUGGGCAUUCCCUAAUUUGAACAUAUAUGGCUGUCGAGGCAGUGUCGAAUGCGAUUGGAUGAACUCCCUGCCCAUCACUGACCCCUUGCAACUAUUCCUUUUAAGAGAUGUGUGGAAGAGCGAGUUUACAAGAUCAGCUGAGCUAUUCUAACUGUUUCAUGUUUCUCUGUUUACUACUGUUGCUUAGGCCGUGUAGGCCAAGCAUACUCUGCUCUAACAGUAGUGGGCGUCAGCUUUGGUUUCUUGUAAUCGUUCCGUGAUAAAAAUAAACUGCAGACGAGUAUCGGCGUAGGUUA